UUAUAUUUUAGAAACUAAUCUGAAUCAGAUCCACUUUAAGAAAUCCUGAGAAAUGGGUUCUGUUUCUGAGUAAAAUGCAGGAUGUCAUGAAAGGUGAACAUUACCAAAGUAACAACUGAAAAAGCUAUAAAUGUAAAAAAAUCAUAUUUUAAAAACUUUGAAGAGUGUGGAAGCAAGAAUAAUUAGAUAAACUAAAAUUCUGCAAAAGGAAAUGCAUUUUUUAGGCUUCUCAUCCUCAGACGUUUUUCUGAAGGCAGAUGAAGCACCAAACCUCGGGUGAGACAAUUAAGAACAAAUGGCGCAGUUACAGAAGACAGGAUGCGACCCUGCCACCUCUCUCUCUCUUUCAGGUUCACUUCAGAUGCAGGAAACAGCCCCAGUGAAUCAGAGCAGAAAAUCCUUUUGGAGCAAGUCUUGCAGACUCACUGCUGCGAUGUGGAGAGAUCCCAGGAGGCUCUAGAUGAGGUGUGUGGCUGUGCUAGGAAAGAGGAUCCCACUGAGUGGUUUUAGGCUUUUUCUCAAGAUGCAUAGAAACGUGAAGCAAGUGACAGCCACAUCACAAACUUUAUCCAUGAUUACAGAAUGCAGCCCUAUUUCAAUGAUGUUCAAAGGGAAAUAGAGUAACAUAAAAGCAGAAGUUCUUGAGCAGAUCCUGUUUUGCAGUUAAAAUGGCUGGCGUUCCUGCAGCCAUCUUGCACAACAAAGAAGACUUCAGCAUGGCAGCCCUUAUGCUCAGGAUGUUGAAGCAGAAAGACGGAAAGAGUCUGUGAAACUGUCAUUCUGAAUCUGAACUGCCUACCUCCAGACUUCUUCUAGUAGGUCACUGCCAUUUCCAGACUCUGAGUUAGCAGCCAAACACUGCUCCUAACAUUUUUAAAAGAUAAUCUCUUAGCGAGUACAGUAUGAUUAUAGCCUAGUCAUAAAAUACUUCCAUUACCUUAUUUUAAACAUUAGUCAUAAAUGCUAACUGAUAUCCAAGGCUUGAUUAAGAAGUAACUAUGUACACAUUUUCCUUCAUUCUCUAAAUAGUUUUGGAGCAGCCAGGCAUUAGGGCUUAGAAAUCAGCAGUAUAUAUUUCAAAACAUUUAUAUUGAGCUAACCUACUAAACAAUGUUUGAUUAACCAUGACGGAUAAAUCAAUAACUUUUUUAAAUGCAAUUUGAAACUUACAUGUUUAAUUUAAUUACGUGGUAAAAUAAGUGCAGUAGAGUUACCUAGAGUUUUCCUCUUUUCAAUAAAAAAAUGCAUAUUUGAGUAAUUUUUUCUCAUAAUACACAUUAUGUAUUUUCUUUUUUUUUUUAACUUUGGAGAAAGUUAUAAGAUUAUCUCAUCAAUAAAAUCUUUUUUGUUUUUGAUUAAAUAAGUGUUUAUUAAGAACCUCCACACAGACAAAAGAUGUAAAAGGCCUGAUCCUAGACUGAGGGAAUUCAUGAUAUUGUCUCCAAAUUGUGUGAGAAAAGUGCAGAAGAUCUGUUCUAAUUGUGCUAUAAUUUUGUUAAUGCUGUCAAUUUUUUUUCUAAGAGAUGCCAUUAUAGAUUGUGUCUAUUACUUUCUACCUGUAAAAAUUUUGUGAAAAUUGAAAACAUGAGCUGAUAUUUUGGUGCUGUAGGCAAUGCAUCAACUAGAAUCUUAGCUUUCUCCAGACACUAGUCAAAAGCACUAUUGGCUGGGAUUUUCUUUUUAGGAUUGAAAACAAAAAUGUGAACACCAACUUCCUUCUCCUACCUCAAUUCAAAACUUUGCCUAGAAUUGAGUCUAUUAAAAAGUGAGAGAGUAAUUUUGAAUAAAUAGUUAAGAAUUAUUUAUUUUUGAGAUCUUAUUGGGAAUAAGUAACUUUUAAACUUUUGGCAUAAAAGACAAGACGGUAUUUCUUUCUAGCACAUCCAAACAUCUAAAUCAAUACAUCACAUUUUUCUUGUUUUAAAAAUAUAGUCCAAAAAUAACACAUGCAUUAGUGUUUUAUAUUUCCUUUCUUGAAAAAAAAUUCAAGAUGUUAAGGUCAAAAUCAUCUUCCAAAAUUUAUCAGUUUGUUAUUUCUACAACAGAAAAUGGUCUUUGGAUUGGUGUGACAUCUGUCCUUUAAGUUUGUAGUAAUUUUAGUCGUCUGCAAUAAGCACACCAUCACUUUGCAUUAGAAAAAUUGUCAAUUUCAGGUGAUCAAGGUGAUUGAAUCGUCUGGAUUCAAUAGGUUACCUACUGUCAAAAAUGAUAGACUGGAUUAAGAAAAUGUGGCACAUAUACACCAUGGAAUACUAUGCAGCCAUAAAAAUGAUGAGUUCAUGUCCUUCGUAGGGACAUGGAUGACACUGGAAACCAUCAUUCUCAGCAAACUAUCGCGAGGACAAAAAACCAAAUACCACAUGUUCUCACUCAUAGGUGGAAAUUGAACAAUGAGAACACAUGGACACAGGAAGGGGAACAUCACACACUGGGGCCUGUUGUGGGGUGGGGGGAGCGGGAAGGGACAGCAUUAGGAGAUAUACCUAAUGUUAAAUGACGAGUUAAUGGGUGCAGCACACCAACAUGGCACAUGUAUACAUAUGUAACAAACCUGCACGUUGUGCACAUGUACCCUAAAACUUACAGUAUGAUAAAAAAUGUCAUUGCUUUAAUAACACAUUUUAUUCUUAAGUCUUUUUGGUUUUGAAUAAAUAUAUAAGAUAUGUUCUGUGGACAAUAUUAAAUAGCUGCUAGUAAACGUUUCAAAGUAUGAAGACAUGUUGACAUUUUAAAAAAGGAAAAAAAUCUACCUCUUUUGGUUUUCAGUAGACUCUUGCCUAGUGCUCUGUAGAUUCAUGUUUAUAUCUGUUGCAUUUAACAGUGUUCACCAGGAGACUUUAACACAUUCAGUUCUUGUUUUAUAAAAACAGCACUCUUUGUACAAAUAGCAGAGACAUGUUGGUCCGAUCAAUUGACCAAAAUAAAACAUACAUUUACAUAUUAUCAGUUCUUAAAGGAAAACAAUCAAGCAUCAGUUAAAAAUAAGUAUCAAAGAAUAGAGGUAUCUCUAAAUUGUGUGAUAAAAGCAUAUGAAAUCUGUUUCAAUCAUAAGUUUUAACUUGGUUCGUUGUAUCAGUUUUUUCUCUAAGAGAUGCCAUUAUAGAUUGCACUUAUUACUUUCUACCUGGGAAAACUAUUUGAAAAUUCUUUAAGUUUCAACUAUAGAAUAAAAAUAAGGGUAAAAGUUUAAAAAUUUGCUGAUUAUUUCAUUUUUUAUGGAAAUCUGAUGGAAAUGUGUAGUCAUUAUAAUCCCAGAGCAAUGUGCAAAUAUUUUCUUUUUGCUUAUUCUUGGAAAUAUGUAUGUUCAUGCUUUCUGAGGAAAACUUAUUUGUCCCAUAUGAAACUGCUCAAUUUAUCUGGAGAAUAUUUUUUACCUGACUGCUUUGCUCACCUUCACACACACUGCACUUCCUUAUUGACAGGCUGAAUUCACCUGAACAUAAAAAUUAAGUUUAUAAUUAAAAUAAUUGUAUUUUUCUCUCUCAUCUUCUAGUAUUGGAUUUAAAAGCUGUCAUUGAUCUUGUCUCCCUAAGCUAUGAACAAAAUUGUUAACCUACUUUUCAAAAACACCAUUGGUUC